rnacentral:lncRNA from 1 species
AAGAGAACAAGAGACGGACUUCUUGUCCACCUUCCUCCCAUGGCGUCCACCGAAGGUCACUCCACACCCCCGCUCCCCACCAGAACAGCAACUUGCUUCCUUUACCGAGAUGACUCUUGAGUGAUGGUGUUGGGCCUCAUGCAUAAAGACUUUGGAAGGCUCCGAUUUCCCAUGCUUAUUCUCUCACUUUAGAAAACUAACAAUAAAAUGAAUUACUUCACAUGAUGAUUGUUUUGUCACUGAAUCACAGGAUCUGGAUAACCAGCUACCAAAAAUGCUAAAGGUAAUUGUCAUUCUAUCUGAAAUGAAUGGCAAGCAACAGCACCACUACCAUCUUCCGUCUUACAGAUGGAAGGUGUCCACGUCUUUGGAAGUGAUAGCGUCCUGGUGCACAGUAAGCCUCCAAUGCCUAUUUGUUAGACUGUCCAACAAAUACCCUCUGCCCCGUGAAGUAACAAGCAUUUGGAAGAGAGGUUGACGCUCUAAGUCAUCAGAUCACACCCCUGGGACCCACAAAUAGUACAAGGUUAGUCUAG